rfam:Rhodotorula sp. JG-1b unplaced genomic scaffold RHOSPscaffold_4, whole genome shotgun sequence.
GGCCAGAUGCCCGAGCGGUCUAAGGGGAUAGACUCGAAUCAACUACUCGUUAUCUAUUAGGCUUUGCCUGCGCAGGUUCAAAUCCUGCUCUGGUCG